rnacentral:rRNA from 1 species
GGGUGAGUAACACGUGGGCAAUCUGCCCUUCACUCUGGGACAAGCCCUGGAAACGGGGUCUAAUACCGGAUAAUACUUUCUCUCUCAUGGGGGAAGGUUAAAAGCUCCGGCGGUGAAGGAUGAGCCCGCGGCCUAUCAGCUAGUUGGUGGGGUAAUGGCCUACCAAGGCGACGACGGGUAGCCGGCCUGAGAGGGCGACCGGCCACACUGGGACUGAGACACGGCCCAGACUCCUACGGGAGGCAGCAGUGGGGAAUAUUGCACAAUGGGCGAAAGCCUGAUGCAGCGACGCCGCGUGAGGGAUGACGGCCUUCGGGUUGUAAACCUCUUUCAGCAGGGAAGAAGCGAAAGUGACGGUACCUGCAGAAGAAGCGCCGGCUAACUACGUGCCAGCAGCCGCGGUAAUACGUAGGGCGCAAGCGUUGUCCGGAAUUAUUGGGCGUAAAGAGCUCGUAGGCGGCUUGUUGCGUCGGUUGUGAAAGCCCGGGGCUUAACCCCGGGUCUGCAGUCGAUACGGGCAGGCUAGAGUGUGGUAGGGGAGAUCGGAAUUCCUGGUGUAGCGGUGAAAUGCGCAGAUAUCAGGAGGAACACCGGUGGCGAAGGCGGAUCUCUGGGCCAUUACUGACGCUGAGGAGCGAAAGCGUGGGGAGCGAACAGGAUUAGAUACCCUGGUAGUCCACGCCGUAAACGUUGGGAACUAGGUGUUGGCGACAUU